GGGGGAGCGUUUAUCGGGAUUACUGGGGCGUAAAGCGUGUGUAGGCGGUUCGGAAAGAAAGAUGUGAAAUCCCAGGGCUCAACCUUGGAACUGCAUUUUUAACUGCCGAGCUAGAGUAUGUCAGAGGGGGGUAGAAUUCCACGUGUAGCAGUGAAAUGCGUAGAUAUGUGGAGGAAUACCGAUGGCGAAGGCAGCCCCCUGGGAUAAUACUGACGCUCAGACACGAAAGCGUGGGGAGCAAACAGGAUUAGAUACCCUGGUAGUCCACGCCCUAAACGAUGUCAACUAGCUGUUGGGGCCGUUAGGCCUUAGUAGCGCAGCUAACGCGUGAAGUUGACCGCCUGGGGAGUACGGUCGCAAGAUUAAAACUCAAAGGAAUUGACGGGGACCCGCACAAGCGGUGGAUGAUGUGGAUUAAUUCGAUGCAACGCGAAAAACCUUACCUACCCUUGACAUGUCUGGAAAGCCGAAGAGAUUUGGCCGUGCUCGCAAGAGAACCGGAACACAGGUGCUGCAUGGCUGUCGUCAGCUCGUGUCGUGAGAUGUUGGGUUAAGUCCCGCAACGAGCGCAACCCUUGUCAUUAGUUGCUACGCAAGAGCACUCUAAUGAGACUGCCGGUGACAAACCGGAGGAAGGUGGGGAUGACGUCAAGUCCUCAUGGCCCUUAUGGGUAGGGCUUCACACGUCAUACAAUGGUCGGGACAGAGGGUCGCCAACCCGCGAGGGGGAGCCAAUCUCAGAAACCCGAUCGUAGUCCGGAUCGCAGUCUGCAACUCGACUGCGUGAAGUCGGAAUCGCUAGUAAUCGCGGAUCAGAAUGUCGCGGUGAAUACGUUCCCGGGUCUUGUACACACCGCCCGUCACACCAUGGGAGUGGGUUUCACCAGAAGUAGGUAGCCUAACCGUAAGGAGGGCGCUUACCACGGUGGGAUUCAUGACUGGGUGAUCAAAAAAGGGGCCCCCACACAAAAAAAAAAAGGG
rnacentral:rRNA from 1 species